rnacentral:rRNA from 1 species
GACGAACGCUGGCGGCGUGCCUAAUACAUGCAAGUUGAGCGCUGAAGGUUGGUACUUGUACCAACUGGAUGAGCAGCGAACGGGUGAGUAACGCGUGGGGAAUCUGCCUUUGAGCGGGGGACAACAUUUGGAAACGAAUGCUAAUACCGCAUAAAAACUUUAAACACAAGUUUUAAGUUUGAAAGAUGCAAUUGCACCACUCAAAGAUGAUCCCGCGUUGUAUUAGCUAGUUGGUGAGGUAAAGGCUCACCAAGGCGAUGAUACAUAGCCGACCUGAGAGGGUGAUCGGCCACAUUGGGACUGAGACACGGCCCAAACUCCUACGGGAGGCAGCAGUAGGGAAUCUUCGGCAAUGGACGAAAGUCUGACCGAGCAACGCCGCGUGAGUGAAGAAGGUUUUCUGAUCGUAAAACUCUGUUGGUAGAGAAGAACGUUGGUGAGAGUGGAAAGCUCAUCAAGUGACGGUAACUACCCAGAAAGGGACGGCUAACUACGUG